CGGGAUGUGGCUCAGCUUGGUAGAGCGCAUCGUUCGGGACGAUGAGGCCGCAGGUUCGAAUCCUGUCAUCCCGACCA
rnacentral:tRNA from 1 species